rnacentral:rRNA from 1 species
GAAGAGUUUGAUCCUGGCUCAGAUUGAACGCUGGCGGCAUGCCUUACACAUGCAAGUCGAACGGCAGCACGGAGCUUGCUCUGGUGGCGAGUGGCGAACGGGUGAGUAAUAUAUCGGAACGUACCCUAGAGUGGGGGAUAACGUAGCGAAAGUUACGCUAAUACCGCAUACGAUCUAAGGAUGAAAGUGGGGGAUCGCAAGACCUCAUGCUCGUGGAGCGGCCGAUAUCUGAUUAGCUAGUUGGUAGGGUAAAAG